rnacentral:tRNA from 1 species
GGGUCCGUAGCUCAAUGGUUAGAGCCCCCAGCUCAUAACUGGGUUGUUGCAGGUUCAAGUCCUGCCGGACCUA